rnacentral:rRNA from 1 species
GUCUAUGGCCAUGCCACCCUGAACAAGCCCGAUCCCGUCUGAUCUCGGAAGCUAAGCAGGGUCGGGCCUGGUUAGUACUUGAAUGGGAGACCACCUAGGAAGACCAGGUACUGUAGGUG